AAUGGGCGCAAGCCUGAUGCAGCCAUGCCGCGUGUAUGAAGAAGGCCUUCGGGUUGUAAAGUACUUUCAGUCGGGAGGAAGGUGGUAAGGUUAAUAACCUUGGCAAUUGACGUUACCGACAGAAGAAGCACCGGCUAACUCCGUGCCAGCAGCCGCGGUAAUACGGAGGGUGCAAGCGUUAAUCGGAAUUACUGGGCGUAAAGCGCACGCAGGCGGUUGAUUGAGUCAGAUGUGAAAUCCCCGGGCUCAACCUGGGAACUGCAUCUGAUACUGGCAAGCUUGAGUCUCGCAGAGGGGGGUAGAAUUCCAGGUGUAGCGGUGAAAUGCGUAGAGAUCUGGAGGAAUACCGGUGGCGAAGGCGGCCCCCUGGACGAAGACUGACGCUCAGGUGCGAAAGCGUGGGGAGCAAA
rnacentral:rRNA from 1 species